UUUUGCGCUACCAUUUAACUCAGUGUGAAUAAUAAACUCGACAUUCAUCAGGUAGCCUAUGUUUGGUAGAGUCGACUAUGAAAAGCCUCUGGGCAACAUGGUAGAAACAGAUUGAAGUUGGACAAGACCUACAUUGAUUGAUAGGCAUACAGGCAUUAAUGUGAUAAUGCAUAGGGCCUGCCUAUGACAAGAAACAGGCUUUCUGCAUUAGGCUAUGGUGAUAAGGCGUUCCAGUGCCAGGGCAACACAGCAGAGGGUACUACACUCGAAGGAUAGCGGAGAUGGGAUGUUGUGAAUGGACAUGGGUGGAUAUGAAAAGGAGUGGCAACAUGGUCAAAGUGGCCCGUCGAUAGGCUGAGGUAUUCAAAGAGUAGAAGGUGAGAUCACGGAGGUCAACAGCGGUUUAACACUUUGGUUCAAGCAAGGCACUCGUCCUGUGAGUAUUUUUCUUAGUAAAGUUUUGCAACAUGUCUGCCUGUAGCUUUUAUUUGUUUGCGCAUGUUGAUGAGCGGAGAGAUAUCACACAGAGCAGAAGGGGUGGGGCUUUGUGAAGGGGGGGCAUGGCAUGGCAUGGCAUGGCUAGAGGGAGGGGCUUGGAUGGGAAGGGGAGGGGUCACACCACCUGUUCCACCACAUCAUUCAUCAUGUAGGCCGUGCAAAGAGAAAAAACAUCUUUGGUAAUCUUUGGUAUCAUUAAAGUGAUAGAAAUCACCACAUGGAAACUGAGUGAGGUAGCAUCUUUGGUUCACACAUAGAAAUUUGAAGUAGGUCUUCGCAAGUUUUGCCUUCUUCUUUUUUUCUAAACGCUUCGUCACUUUUUGUGAUUCUCUCGGGAGGAACUCUUUACCUUCACUUUGUUUUUGUAGUACAAGCACAUUUCUAUAACUCACACAAACAGUUCACCGAAUUACAUUUCGCUUCGGUAGGAUAUCAUUAACCACACAAACAGAGACAACAAGGCCAGGAAACUGGUUGAACAGUUCUGUCAUCCUUCAAACGAGCCUGUCAGAAAGGGAAUGCUUAGAACAUCCACUUAGGACAAACUAUGUGUAGUGCUUUCUUCCUAGUUGUGGCAUGGAUGGAAUACAUACAUAUUCUAUAUGACCUCAGUUAAAGAAGAGGUGUGCGGAGAGAUGAAACAUUCUUGACAUGGUUUUGUGAUCAUGAUACUGACAUACACUCAAGUACAAUCUCUCAGUAAAGUACAAUCCGAGCACCUGUGUUAACAUUGAUGUCUUAUCUUCAACAGAUUUUACUAGCAAAGGGAUAGAUAUAUUAUAUUUGACAGAAGUCACACCCAUGACUUUAACCUAUGCUCACAACAGAGACGGUAUCUCUGGUCAGGGACUGACGUUUUGGUUACUUGUUCAAGAAGGCACAUCAGUAGUCAAAAUGCAAAACUGGGAUAUUUUGGAGGUUGGAGUUUAUGAAAUAGUAGAUAAUAUAUGGCAAAGUCGACUGACUGACAAUUCAGUCCUCUCUGCGUUUUGGAAUCUUUGGGUAAUUUCUGUGAAACUGCAAUGAUCUGGUGUUGGUGGCUGCGUUUGCCCUUUUCUGUAUGAUAAUCUAUGCUCUGAUCUAUUUAUCUUUGGAUUCGAUAUAUAAAUAUUCACAUUAUACCAUGCUGACAUGUUGAGAUUGUGGAGGAUAGAUCUAUGACAAAGUGAUUACAUUACACACGGACAGGAAACGAUCUACUGUAUACUGGUUAUUAGAUAUCUUUGGUUGAUAGCCGCUGGCAUGUUUGUUUACACAACGUUUGUGGAAUACUAUUUAAAGCUUUAGAGAAGACUCUCCCUGAACAUAAGGAGUGAUAUCAACACUGCACCACAAGCACAGGCUUUUGACAUACAUGGAUUAUUGACGGGGAGUGUCUGCAAUCGUUAGACGGGUUUAUAACGUUUGUACAUGUCCAUUUUUACAUUCAUGCCAAACCUGUGGCUUGGUUGAUUAUCUUAGAGUGAGUUUGUCAUUUGGUUUUAUUCCUUUGGAAAUACAUGGUCCCAUAGGAAUCCAUUGUUCCUAAAUCUGUUUGGUUAGCUUGUAUUUUUUGGUUUAUCUGUCUGUUUCUGUGUUUUUUGUGUGAUUAGUCUUUGGUUGGUCUACAUAUUUUUGCAAAAUAAGUACACAUAUAGUUAACAUCAGUCAAAAUUCUUUGGAUCAUUUUUCCUGAAACAAUACGCAGUUGUUAUCUCUUUGGUUAUCACAAAAUGAUUGGUGUGAUUUUACAACAGUUUUGGUUUGGAAGCGUGUUCCUACAAGUAGGAAGAAAGCACUAUAUCGUCUAGAGGGUGACAUCUCAAAAAAGUAUCCACUGCAAAUGAUUAUACCCCAUCCUGCCAAAACAUCCCCAGACCUCGUAGGUACUGGUGGUGCCCAAAUUGUUGAAGGAAAGGGGCUUACACACCUCCACAUACACACACACACACACACACACACACACACACACACACACACACACACACACACA